rnacentral:rRNA from 1 species
GAUGAACGCUGGCGGCGUGCCUAAUACAUGCAAGUCGAGCGAACGGACGAGAAGCUUGCUUUUCUGAUGUUAGCGGCGGACGGGUGUGUAACACGUGGAUAACCUACCUAUAAGACUGGGAUAACUUCGGGAAACCGGAGCUAAUACCGGAUAAUAUUUUGAACCGCAUGGUUCAAAAGUGAAAGGCGGUCUUGCUGUCACUUAUAGAUGGAUCCGCGCUGCAUUAGCUAGUUGGUAAGGUAACGGCUUACCAAGGCAACGAUGCAUAGCCGACCUGAGAGGGUGAUCGGCCACACUGGAACUGAGACACGGUCCAGACUCCUACGGGAGGCAGCAGUAGGGAAUCUUCCGCAAUGGGCGAAAGCCUGACGGAGCAACGCCGCGUGAGUGAUGAAGGUCUUCGGAUCGUAAAACUCUGUUAUUAGGGAAGAACAUAUGUGUAAGUAACUGUGCACAUCUUGACGGUACCUAAUCAGAAAGCCACGGCUAACUACGUG